rnacentral:pre_miRNA from 1 species
UCCUAUGGAUAAGCAGAGAAAGUGAUUUCUUGAGAUGGAAUCUACACCUGGUGAAGAUGCUGUGAA